AAACCCACCAACAAUCCCAGCAACAAAAACCCUAACAAAUCCAAAUCCAAAUCCAACAAUGGCAAGAAAAAAGCAAAGAAGAGAAAGCGCAGAGAAACUCGCCAUUGUUAUUGGUAUUUUAACUUCUUUUUCUAAACUGAUGCAUAUAUGUACUACCAGAAACCGUACAAGCACAGUUGCAGAAUCAAUUAAAACCUUCUUAGACCAAUGUGAUUUAUUGGUUCCCCAAUGGCUAAGAAGAAGAGCUGGUUCGACAUAGUGAAGAGGCUCUUUAUUAGAGAGACAAACUCAAAGCCAGCAAAGGUAAAAUGACUUGCCUCUUUGUUCAGUUUUGGCAACCCUCAAUCUGACUAUCAAUGUGAACAUGAAGUGAAAGAGUUUUCAGACAUUAGAGUUCAAGGUGAAGCAACUCAGUCCAACCAUCAAUGUGAGAGAAAUCCUUGAAUUUGCUGCUACUAGAAUUCAGUCUGCCUUUCGGGGUUACCUUGCAAGGAAAGCCUAGCGGGCAUUGAGGGGAAUUGUGAAACUCCAAGCUAUUAUUCGAGGCAGAGCUGUAAGACGCCAAGCUAUAACUACCCUAAAGUGCUUGCAGUCUAUUGUAAAUAUUCAGUCACAGGCCAGCACAAGAAGAUUUGGAACGGUGGAAGGCACUUGGAAUUAUGAUGAAAGUAAAGAAUUGCAGAAUUGGAAAGACAAGAUGACAAAGGUAUGGAAUGCAGAAAGAACUGACUCAUUCUAAUGUGAACAACAUAACUCUGAUGAAAAAGAAAAAUCUGUAUCUCAUUCCUCUCUUUCUAGAACAUUAGUCUUCUGCUGGUCUAAUUAAUAGCAUAAGAAUUAUUCUGUCUUUAACAUUUGGGUGGCAAAAUGUUAUGAUCUUCAGAUAGACACAAACAAUCAAAGAAGGUGGAAUGAUAGUGUAUUGUCAAAGGAAGAGGCAGAUGCAUUAUUUAUGAGUAAGAAAGAGGCCAUAAAUAAGAGAGAACGAAUAAAAGAAUACUGGUUUAGCCAUCGGAAGUCAGCAGAAACAGAUCGAAACAAGGUAAACGGAAGAUGGAGAUACUGGUUGGACCAAUGGGUAGACACACAAAUUAUUAAAAGUAGAGAACUUGAAGAUUUGGACUCAGUUUUGACUUCAAAUCCAAGACAAACAGAUGACUGUGGAAGAAGACAACUUAAGCUAAGAAAUGUUAAGGGACAGAAUAAUUUUGAAGGAUUGAAUUCUCCAAUAUUUGUUCCCAAAAGAUCAAUUCAUCAUAGGAGGCAAUGCUCAUUGGGAGACCAUAAUACUCUGUCAAGCUCUCCUGUUCCAACUUACAUGGCUGCAACUGAAUCUGCAAAGGCAAAAGCAAGAUCAAUGAGCUCACCAAAAACACGGCUCGGGAAUUUUGAUACAUGCUCUGAAAGCUAUUCACCAUAUAAGAAUAAGUUGUCUCUCAUAUCCUCUAUUACUACUG